rnacentral:rRNA from 1 species
AACGAACGCUGGCGGCAUGCCUAACACAUGCAAGUCGAACGAGAUCUUCGGGUCUAGUGGCGCACGGGUGCGUAACGCGUGGGAAUCUGCCCUUUGGUUCGGAAUAACAGUUGGAAACGACUGCUAAUACCGGAUGAUGACGAAAGUCCAAAGAUUUAUCGCCAGAGGAUGAGCCCGCGUAGGAUUAGCUAGUUGGUGUGGUAAAGGCGCACCAAGGCGACGAGCCUUAGCUGGUCUGAGAGGAUGAUCAGCCACACUGGGACUGAGACACGGCCCAGACUCCUACGGGAGGCAGCAGUGGGGAAUAUUGGACAAUGGGCGAAAGCCUGAUCCAGCAAUGCCGCGUGAGUGAUGAAGGCCUUAGGGUUGUAAGGCUCUUUUACCCGGGAUGAUAAUGACAGUACCGGGAGAAUAAGCUCCGGCUAACUCCGUGCCAGCCGCCGCAGUAAGAC